UGAGGAAUAUUGCGCAAUGGGGGCAACCCUGACGCAGCAACGCCGCGUGAGUGAGGAAGGUUUUCGGACCGUAAAGCUCUGUCGAGCGGGAAGAAAUGUAUCGUGGCUAAUAUCCAUGAUAUUUGACGGUACCGCUAAAGGAAGCACCGGCUAACUCCGUGCCAGCAGCCGCGGUAAUACGGGGGGUGCAAGCGUUGUUCGGAAUUAUUGGGCGUAAAGAGCGUGUAGGCGGCUGAAUAAGUCAGAUGUGAAAUCCCUGGGCUUAACCCAGGAAGUGCAUUUGAAACUAUUCAGCUUGAGUAGGAGAGGGAAAUGGAAUUCCCGGUGUAGAGGUGAAAUUCGUAGAUAUCGGGAGGAACACCAGUGGCGAAGGCGAUUUCCUGGCCUGAUACUGACGCUGAGGCGCGAAAGCGUGGGGAGCAAACA
rnacentral:rRNA from 1 species